AUUUCUAUUACAUUUGCCUUGCUUUCUUAGACCCCUUCAUUGCUUAACCUUGGAAGCCUUAGGAGCCUGGAGACAAUCAGAAUAUAUAACAAUCAGGUAGGUACAUACUGAACAGAAGUUAUGAACAGUAGGCAAAACUGAUAAAUUGUGACAUUGUUAUUGUAGAACUGAAAUACUAUAUGAUACGGUUUUGUCAAAAGGGACAUUUACAACUUAUAUUGAGGACAGAAGACAGCUAUUACUGGUAGCCAACUGCCAUAUUGAGCAGGGCCUGCUAAUAAAUUCAUUCAUUGUGGAAAUUCAACAAUACAUGGGCUCAAUGCAGCUCACCAGGAAUCAACAAUUGGACCACAACAAGCUCUGGCAGUUGAAGAACCGUGUGAUUACUGGAAGCAAACGCCAGUCAAUGUGCA
rnacentral:lncRNA from 1 species